UACGUAGGGUGCAAGCGUUUGUUCGGAGUUACUGGGCGUAAAGGGUGUGUAGGCGGUCUUCUAAGUUUGGUGUGAAAUCUCCCGGCUCAACUGGGAGGGUGCGCCGAAAACUGGGAGGCUAGAGUGCGGGAUGGGAGAGUGGAAUUCCUGGUGUAGCGGUGAAAUGCGUAGAUAUCAGGAGGAACACCUGUGGUGUAGACGGCUCUCUGGACCGCAACUGACGCUGAGACACGAAAGCGUGGGUAGCAAACAGG
rnacentral:rRNA from 1 species